GCUGGGCGUUGUGGCAGGUGCCUGUAGUCCCAGCUACUUGGGAGGCUGAGGCAAGAGAAUUGUUAAGGCCAAGUGUUUGAAGUUGCUGUGAGCUGUGAUGCCAUGGCACUCUACCAAUGGCGACAUAGUGAGACUCAGUCUCAAAAUAAAUUUUAAAAAUCUCUUUUAUUUAUUUUUGAGACAGAGUCUCACUUUGUUGCCCUUGGUAGAGUGCCACAGCAGCACAGCUCAUAGCAACCUCAAACUCUUGGGUUCAAGUGAUUCUCUUGCCU
rnacentral:sRNA from 1 species